AGCCAUGCAUGUUUCCGCAAUCAGGGACGAAUAGCUCAGUAAAACUGCGAUGAUUUAGUCUGGCUGUGUAGAUAACUACGUGAAAAUGUAGCUAAGGGAAGGCAGAAUAAGACGCAGGACUAUCAGUUAGUUGGUAGUGUAAUGGACUACCAAGACAGUGACGGUUGACGGGAAAUUAGGGUUUUGUACCGGAGAGGGAGCCUGAGAGAUUGCUCCCACGUCCAAGGACGGCAGCAGGCGCGAAAAUUGCCCACUCUUUGCAGGAGGCAGUUAUGAGACGUGAAGAUGAGUAUCUUGUAAAGAGGGAUAGGAGAAUUGGAGGGCAAGUUUGGUGCCAGCAGCCGCGGUAAUACCGACUCCAAGAGUGUGUAUGAGAGAUGCUGCAGUUAAAAAGUCCGUAGUCAUAGAAGGGCAAAGAGAGAUGCGAGGUCUCACAGUGCGAUGAUGGAGGAGCCGAUGGGGAACAUAGUAUACCAGGGCGAGAGAUGAAAUGCCAAGACCCCUGGUGGACUGAGCGAGGCGAA
rnacentral:rRNA from 1 species